GUCGGCAUCUUGAAGCUGCUGCUCUAUUUCGCUCUAAAAACUUUCUCCUUUUUUCAUCAGGAUCUUCGUUAGCUGCUCUUCUCCGACGACCACUUGUACUUUGGGUCUGUGGAGUUGUGUGAGCUGGAGAAGCCUAUUAUAAACAGAGAUGAAAGCCUGUUAUAUUUGUAUCUAGUGAGUGAAUUAACAUAGGCAGUAAAGGGUGUCAAAGGGGGAGAGCAACUGUAUUUUCUAAGUCUUGUUGAAUACAUCAGUAUGUUGGGGCAAUAUGAAAAUCACCCUGUGGUUUAACUUCCUUCUUGAAUAUACUUAUGUUAUGAGCUAUGCUAUAACACAAUUCUCACUAAUGCAAUGUCACAGCAAAUGUAUUCUUUAUGUAUAAUAUUUUCAUUUACAUACAAAUAUGAAAAAAUUUAAAAUACAAUACAAAUGAUAUAUAGAAAUAUUUUUCCAAGUAUAUUUUAACAGAUUUUAUUAUAUUAUUAAAUCCCUGGAAAACUAAUUAUAAAUUUCUCAAAACGUUUAAUAACUUCCUAUUUAAAUUCAUGAUAGAAAACCAUGAUUUCUAUGCUAUUUUUAAAUUAAAUAUCUCACAUUAAAUGCCAAUUUUCUUAAAAUUUGUUUCUCUAAAGUUAUGGAGUGAAAAUAUAUAUAUUCUUUGGUAUAUUCAGCUUUUCUUCAGUUUGUGAAAUUUAGGGUCAGUCUUUUUCUAAGGGUCAAGUUCUUAUAUUUAUUAAUACUCAUUUUUCUGGUAGGGAGAAUCCCACAGGAGCCUUAAUUUUCAUUUUAAUUGUUCCCUCUGCUCCCCAAUGAAUCAGCUUGGUUAUCUCAGAUUAGUAAGAGAAAGAAAUCUUCAGUCACUAGUAAUAUUGUCUAGUGUAUAAGACUAUAAAACAAUAGGUAUCUUCAAGUCUUUCACAAACCCCAAAACUGUGCCACAGAACAAAUGAAUAUGGGUGUCAAAAAAUGAACUCUUGGCCGGGCGUGGUGGCUCAUGCCUGUAAUCCCAGCACUCUGGGAGGCCAAGGCGGGUGGAUCACUUGAGAAUGGCAGGUUUUUUCUUUUACUCAUCUGGCUGAAUAAGAGAGAACAGUUUAUUUUUGUUUUUAAUUGAUUUAACUCAUUAUAGCAAAGACUAAUCAUAAGUACUAGCAGAAUAACAGAAGCUUAAUUUCUGCUACUCAGAGUUACAUUUGUAUAUUUUUAUGCCUAUCAAGGAUUGGAGGCUUCUUAGAAGUGUAUACUGCUCCUUCUCUCCCCAUGUCUAUUAAUUCAUUCUAUUUCAUUCAGAAAAUCCUUAUAGGAACUAUUCUAGAAACUAAGUAUAGCAGUGAACAAACAGAUAAAGUCCUACCCUCAUGGGGCUUCCAUCCAAUACAAUAACAUAUAAGGAUAUAAAUAAAAAUUAGAUCCAGGGAAACUAUAGUUAGUGCAAGAAAGUAAGGACAAUAAAUUAUAUUCAUUUUUUAGAAAUAACCCUUUAAAAAUGUAAAAAAUCAUACUUAACUUGCAGACCACACAAAAACACCCAUGGGUUGCAUAUGGCCUGUGAAUCAUUGUUAAACCCUGAGGUAUAACAUUAACACAUAUACACAAUCACUCAGCCCCUCAUUUUCCCUUUU
rnacentral:lncRNA from 10 species